rnacentral:rRNA from 1 species
GUGCUGUGAGCUCGAUGAGUAGGGCGGGACACGUGGUAUCCUGUCUGAAUAUGGGGGGACCAUCCUCCAAGGCUAAAUACUCCUGACUGACCGAUAGUGAACCAGUACCGUGAGGGAAAGGCGAAAAGAACCCCGGCGAGGGGAGUGAAAAAGAACCUGAAACCGUGUACGUACAAGCAGUGGGAGCCCCACCACUAAGCCAGUGGUGAACUCCACAUACGCAUCCUUUGCUGAGGAUACGGUUAACGGAGCGAAAGCGACGUUCAACCUCAAAAGAAGCAGAGGGGGCUUAGUGGUGGGGUGACUGCGUACCUUUUGUAUAAUGGGUCAGCGACUUAUAUUCUGUAGCAAGGUUAACCGUAUAGGGGAGCCGCAGGGAAACCGAGUCUUAACCGGGCGUUAAGUUGCAGGGUAUAGACCCGAAACCCGGUGAUCUAGCCAUGGGCAGGUUGAAGGUUGGGUAACACUAACUGGAGGACCGAACCGACUAAUGUUGAAAAAUUAGCGGAUGACCUGUGGCUGGGGGUGAAAGGCCAAUCAAACCGGGAGAUAGCUGGUUCUCCCCGAAAGCUAUUUAGGUAGCGCCUCGUGAACUCAUCUCCGGGGGUAGAGCACUGUUUCGGCUAGGGGGCCAUCCCGGCUUACCAACCCGAUGCAAACUGCGAAUACCGGAGAAUGUUAUCACGGGAGACACACGGCGGGUGCUAACGUCCGUCGUGAAGAGGGAAACAACCCAGACCGCCAGCUAAGGUCCCAAAGUCAUGGUUAAGUGGGAAACGAUGUGGGAAGGCCCAGACAGCCAGGAUGUUGGCUUAGAAGCAGCCAUCAUUUAAAGAAAGCGUAAUAGCUCACUGGUCGAGUCGGCCUGCGCGGAAGAUGUAACGGGGCUAAACCAUGCACCGAAGCUGCGGCAGCGACACUCAGGUGUUGUUGGGUAGGGGAGCGUUCUGUAAGCCUGUGAAGGUGGCCUGUGAGGGUUGCUGGAGGUAUCAGAAGUGCGAAUGCUGACAUAAGUAACGAUAAAGCGGGUGAAAAGCCCGCUCGCCGGAAGACCAAGGGUUCCUGUCCAACGUUAAUCGGGGCAGGGUGAGUCGACCCCUAAGGCGAGGCCGAAAGGCGUAGUCGAUGGGAAACGGGUUAAUAUUCCCGUACUUGGUGUUACUGCGAAGGGGGGACGGAGAAGGCUAUGUUGGCCGGGCGACGGUUGUCCCGGUUUAAGCGUGUAGGCUGGUUUUCCAGGCAAAUCCGGAAAAUCAAGGCUGAGGCGUGAUGACGAGGCACUACGGUGCUGAAGCAACAAAUGCCCUGCUUCCAGGAAAAGCCUCUAAGCAUCAGGUAACAUCAAAUCGUACCCCAAACCGACACAGGUGGUCAGGUAGAGAAUACCAAGGCGCUUGAGAGAACUCGGGUGAAGGAACUAGGCAAAAUGGUGCCGUAACUUCGGGAGAAGGCACGCUGACAUGUAGGUGAAGUGAUUUACUCAUGGAGCUGAAGUCAGUCGAAGAUACCAGCUGGCUGCAACUGUUUAUUAAAAACACAGCACUGUGCAAACACGAAAGUGGACGUAUACGGUGUGACGCCUGCCCGGUGCCGGAAGGUUAAUUGAUGGGGUCAGCGCAAGCGAAGCUCCUGAUCGAAGCCCCGGUAAACGGCGGCCGUAACUAUAACGGUCCUAAGGUAGCGAAAUUCCUUGUCGGGUAAGUUCCGACCUGCACGAAUGGCGUAAUGAUGGCCAGGCUGUCUCCACCCGAGACUCAGUGAAAUUGAACUCGCUGUGAAGAUGCAGUGUACCCGCGGCAAGACGGAAAGACCCCGUGAACCUUUACUAUAGCUUGACACUGAACAUUGAGCCUUGAUGUGUAGGAUAGGUGGGAGGCUUUGAAGUGUGGACGCCAGUCUGCAUGGAGCCGACCUUGAAAUACCACCCUUUAAUGUUU